UGGGGAAUUUUGGACAAUGGGGGAAACCCUGAUCCAGCCAUCCCGCGUGUGCGAUGAAGGCCUUCGGGUUGUAAAGCACUUUUGGCAGGAAAGAAACGUCAUGGGUUAAUACCCCGUGAAACUGACGGUACCUGCAGAAUAAGCACCGGCUAACUACGUGCCAGCAGCCGCGGUAAUACGUAGGGUGCAAGCGUUAAUCGGAAUUACUGGGCGUAAAGCGUGCGCAGGCGGUUCGGAAAGAAAGAUGUGAAAUCCCUGAGCUCAACUUUGGAACUGCAUUUUUAACUACCGGGCUAGAGUGUGUCAGAGGGAGGUGGAAUUCCGCGUGUAGCAGUGAAAUGCGUAGAUAUGCGGAGGAACACCGAUGGCGAAGGCAGCCUCCUGGGAUAACACUGACGCUCAUGCACGAAAGCGUGGGGAGCAAACAGG
rnacentral:rRNA from 1 species